rnacentral:rRNA from 1 species
UACGAAGGGGGCUAGCGUUGUUCGGAAUGACUGGGCGUAAAGGGCGCGUAGGCGGCUUUUUAAGUCAGGCGUGAAAGCCCUGGGCUCAACCCAGGAACGGCGCUUGAUACUGAGGGGCUAGAGGACGGGAGAGGAUGGUGGAAUUCCCAGUGUAGAGGUGAAAUUCGUAGAUAUUGGGAAGAACACCGGUGGCGAAGGCGGCCAUCUGGACCGUUACUGACGCUGAGGCGCGAAAGCGUGGGGAGCAAACAGG